AUUGAACGCUGGCGGCAUGCUUUACACAUGCAAGUCGAACGGUAACAGGGAGCUUGCUCCGCUGACGAGUGGCGAACGGGUGAGUAAUGCGUCGGAACGUGCCGAGUAGUGGGGGAUAACGCAUCGAAAGGUGUGCUAAUACCGCAUACGAACUGAGGUUGAAAGUGGGGGACCUUCGGGCCUCACGCUAUUCGAGCGGCCGACGUCUGAUUAGCUAGUUGGUGAGGUAAAGGCUCACCAAGGCGACGAUCAGUAGCGGGUCUGAGAGGAUGAUCCGCCACCCUGGGACUGAGACACGGCCCAGACUCCUACGGGAGGCAGCAGUGGGGAAUUUUGGACAAUGGGCGCAAGCCUGAUCCAGCCAUGCCGCGUGUCUGAAGAAGGCCUUCGGGUUGUAAAGGACUUUUGUCCGGGAGCAAAUGCUGGUGGCUAACAUCCACCGGAGCUGAGAGUACCGGAAGAAUAAGCACCGGCUAACUACGUGCCAGCAGCAGCCGCCGUAA
rnacentral:rRNA from 1 species